CUGACGUUUCGACAACCUGUGCGGAAGUCAUCAUCAGAGUCAAACAAACACGUUUUGAGUAUUUAUCUGAAACAAAACGACACUAGAGAGCAAGCAACUUUUCUAAGUUUUGGUGGCAACUUUUUGAUAUUUUAGCAACUUUAGAGCAACUUUUGGGUAUAUUGUAAAGCAACUUUUCCUGAAUUUACUAGCACAAUCUAUUCAUGCCUAGUCACCAACAGGGUAUAAAGGGGGAACAUAAAAGAUAACUGCAUAAAAUUGUCCAAGUGACUUAUUAGUUAAAUCAAAGUUUGUGUAUUGCACCGAAGUAUGACACAUCGUCAGUCGUAUUUCUUAUGGCCAGUCAUUAUUUCAAGUAUCGUCUAGCAAGGGGGGGAGGAGGAGUAAGAGGAUUCUGGGGGGAUCGCAUCGAAGAAAGAAGGGGGCAGAUCAGUCGUCGCAAACAGGGUAUAAAGAGGGAAUAUAAACUGAGAUUACUGCAUAUCAACAGGGUAUAAAGGGGGAACAUAAAAGAUAACUGCAUAUCAACAGGGUAUAAAGGGGGAACAUAAAAGAUAACUACAUAUCAACAGGGUAUGAAGGGGGAACAUAAAAGAUAACUGCAUAUCAACUAGCAAAAGCAGAGAACAUAAGACAUAAAUGAGCCUUAUAAUGUAAUCAGGUAAAUCUUAACCUGACAUAAAAUCUUUGGCCCUCCCCACCCCUCCCCGGAAAGUAAUGAUCGGUUUCUUAUUGCUUCGGUGUAGAGAUCAAAUAUAAUAUUUCUGCAGGUUCUUAUGUACAGGACGACCGAGGGUGAAAAGACUCGGCUACUUGCCACUGCUUCUCAGCAAACUCCCAGCAGAUAGUUCCUCAACUAGGUUACUCUCACUCGAGCCUGACCACAAUCCAGAGAAGCUUUCUGUCACGGUUUUCUUAUCACGGGAACACCCUGUCAUAUUUCGCGUUGGUCACUUGAGGACUGGGUCACGUAGUAGGCCCUUGUUGAUUGCGCUAGCAUAAUUUUAGGCUGCAGAACAGGCGUAAUUUCAGUUGUUUUUAUUUUUUGCGUUUUUCAGUCGGAGGUAAGCGAGAAGUGUAAUUUUUUCGAGCCCCUCCCAUCGCGCGUGACUCUCGCUUCGCGCUCGCCCUGUGCUCGCCUAGGGCUUGUCUCUGUUCGCUUGUAAAACGGAAACAUAACUGAUUAUGAGAGUAAUGAGCAAGGCUAAGGACUAUCUAGAAUGUACGCUGAAGAUUUUUGAAACAUUUAAAAACAAGAACAGGAACAAAACUAGCUCUAUUGGAACAAACAUUGUUGCUAUACAAACCAACGUAAGUUUAAUAUACCAGUGUCAGAAAAGCUACCCGGUUGCAGUGAAGUGGCAAGACUGUCUCCUUUUAAAAGCAAAAGACCUCAAUCUUCCCGUUCCUCUAGUAGCUGCCAUACAUUACAAUCGAGCAGAAUUGUUCUUAGAGCUCAAAGAACCUUUCAAAGCACUUAUUACGGAACUGAAGACAUUGGAUUCACUUCUGAGAGGAUGAACAAUGAAGUUGGAAUAUUCUCGAAAUUUGUGUCUUCUAAAAUUUGUUUGGUGUAUGGAAUGGCUGGAGAGGUGGCUCGUGCAGAGAAAAUGGCUGAGCGCUCGACUUUCCUAUCUCUUCCUCCUAAAUCGCUAUCACCACUAGUCUCGCUUCCUCAAAAUCGUUCUCGUCAUCACCAGGUUCAGGGUCAUCAUUAUCAUCAUCGUCACAAGUUUUAUCAUCGUCACCAUCAUCAUCAUCAUCGUCAUCUUCAUUUUCUGCUACGUCAUUGAUAUCUUCUUCAUUAUCCCUUUUCCUUCCCGAUUUUGAAGCCUUCCUCGGAUGUUAUGGAAAAAGCAAUUGGGACUUCUUGUUCGCAAUAAUCUUGAAUAUAGUUGAUUUCACUUGAAUAAGGAAAUCUUAGACUUAAUAUCUUUCUUUGAGGUUUUUGUACCAAGUUGCAGAGAAACGCUCGGGAAAAAUAACCCCGCAUAUGCAUAGUUUCUCUGUAGGCAGGGUGUUAGAUUUUCUUCUGAUGGAGCGAAACAUGUCAUCCGAAGAAUUUCUUCGACGAAGCAUUAAGUAUUUUGAAAAGUUCUGACUUCGGUUCCGAUCACCCGAUUUAAUGCAAUGUAAUAUCGGUAUUGCGCGAAGAAUUGCAGGAGGUUCCUCGGUUGAAGUCGUGCCCUGACCGUAGCUGGCGAGAAUGUUCUUGUGACGCAGCAGGUGUUGUGAGCCCUGAUAUUCCGUCCUUUAGAGAAGACAGUAGCAAGUGAGACAGCGACGAAGAAUUAGACGAGUCUAGAGGUUCCACAAUGGCUGUGUGAAAAUCACCAGCGGUUCUGCCGUGUCAAGUUUCCAUGUUGCGGAAGGUUCUUUCCUUGUCAUGGUCGCUACAACAACUUUGGGUGUCCAAAUGACAAUUCCAAAGCCAGAGAGGCGUGUUAUGUCGAGUGCUCUAUUUGUAGCCAUCAACAAGGGGUAAAUAGACAUAAUAUUGACUUAAAACGUUGUGCAAGUGUUACGCUUAGGUUAAAAGCGAGUUAACUUUGAAUGUUUGAUUUUGAAGAUCAAGCAGGAGGCCCACACCUGUGUCAGAUGCAAGACAAAGUUCUCAGCAUAUAUUUGCUCUGUAUGUAGACACUUCACGGGCGAAGAUAAAGCUCCUUAUCAAUGCACAAAGUGCGGUAUCUGCUGAACGCUUUCAGCGGUUGUCAGAUCCUGCCAUGCUCAUACGAGGUUCACCGAGAGUGUGCUACUGCUAUGAUACAGAACGGCGUUCGCAGCUGCCCCAUUUGCCGUCAUCUUUUGUAGAGUCAGACAGGAAUCAGCGAGUGAAUAACAAUCUCGAUUUCAGUGUGCAGCAUUCUGAGAAAAUGUAAACUUUCCACAUUGAGAUGUUUUACAAAGUGCCUUAAUUGAGGUAUUCUUUCUAUACAUUAGCCGUGCACUGAACCCUUUACCCCUACGAGUUACUGCCUUCUAUUUUCUUCUUACAGUAUCACCCUAGAAUCAAAUGUAAAUGUCACGAUAAUGAAGGCAGUGAUCACCAAUUUAGCAGGCUUCUGAUUACCAAACAAAUUCUGAUUGUCAGUUCCAGAGGAAUUGUAACUAAAAUAGUGUGGAAAGUUUGACUGACACCAAUGUUAGGGGGGUAUAAAAGGGUUCAAGAUCUUAAUAGUCAUUCAGUUAAUCUCACUUGCACAAGGACACAGACCUGAGGGAAGGGGAAAUGAGGGUGGCAGGAUCCCUCUACUCUUAGUGAUUCCGAUUAAGUGGCUUCCACAUCCAAUGAUCUACCGCAACCAAUAGAAGGCCAUUCAUCCCUUAAACGAUUUGUAUAAAAUUGUGUCAGCCAGUGGUAACUAUGAUGAGGAGAUGCAAAGCCAGGUUUAAGAUUAUCAUAACAUUGAAGCCAUCGCAAAAUAAUAUCUCUUAUUAUUAUAGAUAAAACAACGUCGUAAGUUGUCCACUAGCCUGAGCAUGAAAAUAGCUAUAAUAGCGGGCUGUUUUGUGGGAUUUUAUUACCCUUACACUUUCAGCCUAACAAAACGUUGCAAAUGGUAGGUUUUUUUCAUGGCAAUUAGAAUGCUAUGUGAAAUAAAGCCUCUCAGAGAUGUUUUCGCAUAUGGUCACCCCAGAAAAGGAAAGAAGCUAAAGAGUUUCAAAUUUCAUCUUCCAGUUUACUUUUGAGAGAUGUGCAAUAGAAAGGAACGGAAGAAAAAUUUCGCAUAAGUAGUGCGGUGAUCAUAUUAAGUGACGAGUAAUUUGCGUGCCUUUGAGGUAGCUAUAAAAAUGUACUGAUCAUAUUUUAUAAUGAACUGGUAACCUUCAUAAAUGGAAGGUAUUUACUUUUCUUAGGUUUCCCCUUUUUAGUGUUUCAUUUUGAGUUAACCUUAAAAACUGAAACUUCAGGUAGUUAUGAUACAAAUCGUAGCUACCCGAUUAUACCCAUUAUAUCAUUUUAGCCAAUAAGCUAGAAAGACUUUGUAUGAGUCUAUUUUAUUGUUCUCUUUCUUCAACAAUUCUAUAUUUAUUACCAAACGCAGAGUAGGGUCAAAGUUAUGGAUAAAUCAGUCAUGUUUUGAAAGUUUUUCCGUUUUAAAACGUCAUUCACUCUAAUUGAACGUAAAAUCCAAACAUUUUAACUCUGUUCCCUUCAAUAGAGCAUCACUUUUUGUAAUAUGACUGGCUAUGAGUGACAAUGACUAUCACUGACUAUUUGUACAGUAACAAACCAUGGACACAGCAUAUAUAGUCCACUCUUGGCAAACAGGUUUGGUAACUAAUUCAUGGAGACAAAAUAUAUAAUCGACUCUUAGCAAACUUUCUUGGUAAACGCAAUAAAUUUAUACUUUUUC